AUCGCUUCUCGGCCUUUUGGCUAAGAUCAAGUGUAAAAUCUGAUAUCUAGGCAUAGCUUUUCCAUAACAGGCAUUUUUCAUAAACUUCUGAAAAACUCUUCCUAUUGAUCUCUACUUUUUUUUCGAAAGGCAGAGUUACAGAGAGGGAGGGAUCUUCCAUUCACUGAUUCACUCUCCAAAUAGC